CAAUAGCGUAUAUUUAAGUUGUUGCAGUUAAAAAGCUCGUAGUUGGAUUUCGGUUAAGAGCGACCGGUCCGCCGUUUGGUGUGCACUGGUUGGUUUUAACUUCCUGUAGAGGACGUGCUCUGGGUUUUACGACCUGGACUCGGAGUCUACGUGGUUACUUUGAAAAAAUUAGAGUGUUCAAAGCGGGCUUACGCUUGAAUAUUUCAGCAUGGAAUAACACUAUAGGACUCCUGUCCUAUUUCGUUGGUCUCGGGACGGGAGUAAUGAUUAAGAGGAACAGUUGGGGGCAUUCGUAUUUCAUUGUCAGAGGUGAAAUUCUUGGAUUUAUGAAAGACGAACUUCUGCGAAAGCAUUUGCCAAGGAUGUUUUCAUUAA
rnacentral:rRNA from 1 species